rnacentral:rRNA from 1 species
ACUGAACGCUGGCGGCAUGCCUUACACAUGCAAGUCGAACGGUAACAGGUUAAGCUGACGAGUGGCGAACGGGUGAGUAAUAUAUCGGAACGUGCCCAGUCGUGGGGGAUAACGUAGCGAAAGCUACGCUAAUACCGCAUACGAUCUACGGAUGAAAGCGGGGGAUCGCAAGACCUCGCGCGAUUGGGGCGGCCGAUAUCAGAGUAGGUUGUUGGUGAGGUAAAAGCUCACCACGCCUGCGAUCUGUAGCUGGUCUGAGAGGACGACCAGCCACACUGGAACUGAGCCGCGGUCCAGACUCCUGCGGGAGGCAGCAGUGGGGAAUUUUGGACAAUGGACGCAAGUCUGAUCCAGCAAUGCCGCGUGCAUGACGAAGGCCUUCGGGUUGUAAACUGCUUUUGUACAGACCGAAAAGGUUUCUACUAAUACUAGGAGCUCAUGACGGUACUGCAAGAAUAAGCACCGGCUAACUACGUGCCAGCCGCCGCCGUAA